UACGUAGGGUGCGAGCGUUGUCCGGAAUUAUUGGGCGUAAAGAGCUUGUAGGCGGUUUGUCGCGUCUGCUGUGAAAAUCCGGGGCUCAACCCCGGACUUGCAGUGGGUACGGGCAGACUAGAGUGUGGUAGGGGAGACUGGAAGUUCCGUGGUGUAGCGGUGGAAUGCGCAGAUAUCAGGAGGAACACCGAUGGCGAAGGCAGGUCUGCUGGGCCACUACUGACGCUGAGAAGCGAAAGCAUGGGGAGCGAACAGG
rnacentral:rRNA from 1 species